CUUCUUCCCUCCCUUAGCUGAAGGACUGGGAUAUGAUCUUUGGAGGUUCCAAAGAGUGAUGUCAUUCAAAGCUGUAACCACAUCUGAUGCUCUCCUUCCCAAACAACUGAGUUUUAGACAGAGUCCCACACAGCAGAUGCCGCUGCUAAACGGAAGUGAUGGGAGCUGCAGCUCAGGUUACAGCCCUGUAUGACAUCACCAUUCAGAUCUCUCUUAAAAAAAAAAAAAAAAAGGAUUGAGGCCACCUUUGCACAUCACAAAGGAGCAGUGCGAUGGGGUGUUCAGCCUACACAAGGCCUGAAGGGGUUGUAGUGGCUGGGUAGGCCAAUUAACUGCACUGGCUGUAUCUGGAGGAAGAGCCAGGGAGCAAUGAGGAUUAAUUAAAAAGGAAGCUCAGCUGCACAAGAACAGGAGGGGCCUGCAUAAAGCCCAGUAGCUGAGAGGACAAUGGGGCUGCAGAGAGAGAGAGAGAGAGGCUGCAGUCACUUGUACGGUGACAGAUGGCAAGGGAGGAAAUCGCCCAGGGAUACACGGGGAAAACCACAGUGACCGGACUGGAGGACCAAGCCAUGAAGUGGGAGCAGUUGAGUCCUGAGAGAGCAAGACAGGGGGUGAUGGUGUGCAACCGCAGGAAGAGGCAUCAGCCUGGCAGAGUUAAUCCCCAGACGUGGUCAGAAGGAGAUGUGCCAGCGUGGGUCCUUGAGAAUGUCAUGAGCACUCCAAAGAGCAGAAUAUCACUCAGCUAAUUCAAGCUGCAUCUAGCAUGAUAAGAGGACAGAUGCUUGACACAGCUACUUGUUUGCAAGGGUGGAUGUUGAGUCUGAAGGCGUCUGUCUGUACAAGUUGUGAUAAGGAACAUACCCUCUGGUUUGGAGUAAAUAAUUUAAAGUAGCUGUUACAUUGAACUGAGGUUGCUUGACUGUGUUUCAGCUAAGUUUGUAUAUAAAGUUCAGGAGACUGAAGUGAGUGAUGCAAGAAAGCCAGCACGGCACUAGAAGAAAAGCAAAAUGACACCUGGAGACCAAAAAGGCAAUACAUAGAAGACCAAUUCUCGGCUCACGGAUUGGCUCAUGUCCAGCCUCAAACACAAUGUACUAUUACAUCAGCCGCCAAAGAGGAAAGGUCAAAGAUGAAACAGAAGGAAAAAAGGCAAUUUGGAAUUCCAGAUUAAAAAAAAAAAAACAAAAAAACACAGGCAGCAUUUUGCACUGAAAUUAAACUCGUUCCUGGUAGAAUUAGAUUUGAAGAUUAUUCUGACAUGGAAAAAUAUCAUCUACAAGGCAAGACACCAGAUGGAGACAUUUUAAUUUAUUUGGAAACCCUCAUUAAUGGUUCUAAAAUCAUUACAUUUGUAAUUGGUGAUGAUGCUCAAUAUUGCCUUGGUAUCAAAGACUUUUAUGAUGACAUAAUCCUGCCUCUAGAGGAUGAUGGGCAUAUGAAACAAGUAUUUCAUAAUUCACUCAAGGGGUGUUCAUCGGACCCCAGUUUAUUAUCCUCCCAGAUCCAUUCCUUCAGCUGUGAUUUGACAAUUUUACAAUAUCUUUGCUGAGUGCUUCUAUGAGCCAUUUACCAAUUUAUAAAUGAAGUAUCAAAUUGUUUGGAGGGCUGCAGUAUGACAGAACAAAUUACAGCGACGGCUUAAUUUGUAUUAUGGUUCAAUACAGUCAAUUAAAUUCUGCAUAGAUUAGAAAGUAAUUUGCUUUACCAUUUAAGCCUUAGUUGUUUUAAAAAAAUCCAUUAUACAUAUCGUCGAUAUUAUGGUUCGAGUCCGUAUGCAACACUAUCCGCAGUACAAAAUAUACAGGAUUCAAAAAUACGAUAAAAGUAUGGAUAAGCAGCCACACACAGGAUAACGAAGAGUGGUAUACACGACUGCUCAGUACUCUAGUUGUUCACAGUACUUGCAGUCUCGCAAGGCUAAGGGGAAUGGGACCUCAUUAGUACAGCCCUUUUGUUUUCCCUACAUUUUUGGAUGGAUUUUCUGAAUUUGAAGUUUAGGAGAUAGAGUGGCAAACAGCACUUUAAAAAGCCAGAGAGCUCAGUCACUACCACCAUACAAAGCAGGCCUAACCCUGACCUGUGCACGAAGAACAAGUAAACAGGCUUUGCGCAGGGGGUCUCUGAACAGGUUUGGCAGGUGCAGUGGUGGGCGGAAUCCUCGAUGCAAACUAUGGUGUAGCAAUGGGCCUGUUUCUUCUUUGGUACUGCAAUUUAAGGGUCGCUGUAAUGUCCACUGACCCCACGCUCCCCUUCCACAGGCACUUUUGGCCUCUGUUCCUAUCUAGUCAUUAUCUUCUCUCCUUUUUCUACAGUCUGUCCUCUGCUUCUGCCCUUCUCCCAUGUUGCCCCCCCCGUACACCAUACUGAAUUGAUUGAGGUACCUCAGAGAUCAGUAGCAUUUCUAAUUUCCCUCAGGCUGCUUAGAGCUUGUCAUAAAUUUGUUCACCCUUGAUCCUCAUCUUGCCCCUUGGAUUUCCAUGCUCUGGCCUCCAGUUCUCCUGAAUCAAUUAAGCACUUAGAGAGGCCAGCAAUCAUGUCAAAUAUGAGCGUUGGGUGGUGUUACAAAGUCACGGCCAUAAUAUCACUAUUCCCUUUUUAAUGAGGCAGCCUAUUUACUGAGGCCUGGGGCAGAGCAGUAAGACUCGCAAUGAGAAUUAUCCUGCAGGGAAAGCAGCAAAGCAUCUUGUAAAUGGUGCCCAAUCAAUAGCAAAAAAUCACAAAUAAAACAAUGUUAUAUUUAUAUGGCCAAGCUCCACAGGGAUUUCAUAUAAAGAACCUUUCAUAUUAAUUAAUUUACCCGAUAAGCCUGCUUUCAGAUCAGCGGUAUCAACUGACUCAAAUUUAUGUGCCACUUCUGCCACUAUUAGCUUUGUGAGAGGAGUGAGAGACCUUGUCCACCCAUUUUCUAUAUCUCUAUUCCUAUUUGAUAUCUGUCAAGAGCAUUUCCUACUCCACUUGAGCCAACAAUCUUUUAAGGCUCUGCAAGAACUACUUCUGCAUGCUGGGUGAAAUUCACUUGUGCAUGGAAGACAAAUAUAAUAAGGUCCUCUGCACCACUGAGGCUUUAUUGUAGUUUUCUGUUUAUAGUUAUCUAUCUAUAGAUACAUUCUAAUUACAACAUAUAUACAAUAUUAAAAAAUUACUUUAAGGAAUGCUCAGAACCUGCAGCUGCCAUAAAUUUUGACUCAAGUUGUGAGUGCUUAGCACUUCAGAAAAUCCGGCCAUAAAUGUCUAGAGCUCUUACUAAAUAAGAAUUUCAGAAUUUUAACUUGUGGAGUAAAAUUAUUGCAUCACCUUAGUAACAGGCUUGGUGAACUGGAAAUGUAAUAGCAUGUUUUACCACAAUUUACGGCACCAUGUUAAAUUACAACAAUGUGGCGCUGCAGUGAUUCUGAGCUUAAGCCUUGUCUCCACUGCUGCCAUCAAGACAAGAGAGGUACAGAAGUUUGGCUAGUUUCUCUUCUAGAUGUGAGACUUUGUUACAAAUAUUGAUGCUGCUUUGGUGCGCACACGCACAUGCAUGCACACACACACAUACAAUCAUUUUCCCUAAACACUUUUCACUUCCAUCUUUCUAGCAGUCAGUUUAAUGAGAGACCUUUUGGAUUUGCAGAGUUAAAUGCAACAGCAGUUCAAAACAUCCAUUUCUAGUGUAGGAUGGACUAGUGGCUUAAGCAGCAGAUUUGAAAUACCAAGGUUCUCUAGAAUUGCAGGUUCAAUUAGCAGCCAGCUUUACACCUUUCAGUGACGGAGAGACUGCAUUUCAUGCAGUUUAUGGUAUGUAAGUACUUCCUGUAGGUCCUCUAUCGACAUUUCAGAUCCCAUUGGUAGGGAUUUUCCCUGGUGAUCUCCAUUAGGGCGCACCAGAGGGCUAUGAUGACAAUGUCCACCUUUUGGCUACCUCCCACCCUAGGGGUGCCUGCAUUUCAGUGGUAUUAUACGUAUGCAGUUUCGGGAAAAAAUAUAACAGCUUCUACAUCAGAAUUCAAAUGUUGGUGAAAUGGAAAAGAAAUCUGCAAAUCAGUUUGCAACAUGAACUUUUCAGUGUUGAUUUUCUAGAAGUUAGCAUUUGGGGUGGCAGAUGGAGUGGCAAAGAAUUUGCCUAUGGAGCUAUGUGGUGAGCGAGCAGAUGGGGAAGUGCACUGAGCACCGGCUGCAGAAAUUCUCCAUUUAAUGUGAAGUAGUAAAGAGGAUUCAGCUUGGUGUAUUUCAGAGCUGUAGUUAAACAGUUUAAAAAUCAUUGACUACAGCACAAAGCAAACAUGAGCAGACGUAGUGCCAGAGUUCCUUCACUGGGAGAGCCAACUGCUUUCGUGCCUCCUGCACUGGAUUCAUCCCUGGCAUUUCUCUCUCCAUCUCUUUCUGAUAGUUUAUCGGCACAUUCAGUUCAAUUCAAGAACACUCUGGCAACAUUUGUUAUGUCAACAAAAGUGUAAAAGCAGAGAUAGAAUCAUCUGGUCUCUAACAGAGGUAGCUACAGUCUAAACAGGGAAAGCUUCACAGUGUAUUUGGAAUAUUAUUUCCCAUGUGAAUUUGUCAUUGCUGUUGAUUUUUGAAUUGGUGGCAAGUUGCUCUUCUCCUUUCUCCCAGGGUUAGGCACAGUUUUUGCACCAUCAUUUCUUUUGAUUGAAUGUCUCUUAUAAUGUCUGCUAAUUUUUCUAAUAGUUACACAAUAGCUUCCUGGAUUGUGUUUGAAGCUCAAGCACGAAAGGGUGUAAGUAAACAGAACACCCAAAUCACACAUUUUUUCCACUCACAGAUCCAAACAAUUUGGUCAGUCAUGUUUAAGCUUUCAGCAAACCUGAAAAAUAGACUUUGAUUAAAUAUCCAACUUUUAUAAUCUGGGAGGUGUUCCCCCAAAUCUUCAAAGUAACAAACCGAGUUAUUUAUUUGGAAUAUUACCAGCAACACAUUGCAACUCACAAGAGGAAAAGCCUAGAGAAAUGUUGUGGCUAAACAAAAUAUGAGAUGUGGGACAGAUCAGAGCUUACCAUACUUUACUUUAAUCUUACCAUAACGAGCAUAAUUGUAACACUUGAAAAGCAAACAGUAAGCACAAAUUGCCGUAUAUCUAGGAAAGUGUCAGUCUCUUAUUUAUAUACUGAAUAAAUAACUCCUGAAUAUCUAUGCAAGUAUAAUCAUUCUGCCCAAAUACCCAAUUCUGCUAUAUGUUGUGAAUACAAAAUAUAUAUAACACCCGUUAUAUUUGUAUGUAACAAUGGUGCACUGUAUAACUGUGCAUAUAUUUGUGAUUAAUAAUGUAGCACCGGGUACUUGUGGUCUCAUUGUUUCAUACUCUGCACGUAUAGUAUAUCUUCUAUUUGAUGCUCUAAACAGGUGUGGAAACUAAGGCAUAAAGAGAUUACAUGCUUUGUCUAAGGCCACACAAGAAAUCUGUGGCAGACCCAGCAUUAGAACCCAGUCCUCCUGACACCCAGCCCUAUGCCUUAACCACAAUUCCAUGCCAUCCUUCCUAUAUAAGAUCACAUCCCAACUGUUCAGCUAUGUGUAUUUUACCAUUUAUAUGCUGUAAUGCUGGUAAAUGCCAUGGACACCUGUAACGAGGCCCAUAAAACACAAAUACACAGUACUAAAUAAAAUAAAAAGUACAUUUCAUUAGAUAUGAUUAUCUAGCCCUUUGAUGCGAUAACA